GGUCAGAUGGCCGAGUGGUUAAGGCGGUAGCUUAAGGCGCUAUUCUCGUAGAGGCGCGGGUUCGAAUCCCGUUCUGGCCA
rfam:Anncaliia algerae PRA109 cont4.6244, whole genome shotgun sequence.